UCUUCUACAAGCUCUAGUUUUAUAUUUGGGGUUCAAGUUUAUCACUAAGGUAUAGUAUUUAAUAUAGUGUGAAUUUAGGGGCUAUACUAUAUGAGGUUAUAACUUUUGUUUUGUUUUUGCUUUGUUUUGCAUUUAUCUCUUUGCCAUGUUCUGAAGAAGCCAUAUUGUUGUAAGGUUGAUGAAAAAUGAGGUCAUGGCCUGUUUCAGUAUGAAGUGGGGGAAGGGGAAGCUUGCUUUCACCAAGAUCAAUCUGUACACUGUUGUCACAGAGAGUGUCCAGAAAACAUCAAAAGAGACGGGGCAAAUACUGCAGCACCCACUGCCUUUUG